GAACAAACAAGUCGAUCAACUAAAACUACUUAGACCACGAUUAACGGUGGUUCUUAAAGGGGGUCUUAGGUUAAUUUGCAAUUAAAAAAAAUUAUGAAUUAACUUAAGCGUCGGGUCUUAAUUAGGCGAAAGAAGGAUCAGCUCUUGGAGGACAUGUGUUGUCGUUUGCAUGACUUUGUCUAACGGAUCUCUCCACCAAAUCCGUCGCCGCCCUCCAGAAACUCUCCUUCCUCGCUGCGGCGUCGGCAUGGCUUGGGCGGCCUUCCACGCCGUGGAGGUCGUUUCCUCAUCUCGAUUCGCGCAUAAGAGGAUCGGUUACCACGCGAUUGCUCAGUCGUUCAACAAUCAGACGCCGGUUCUGCUUAUGAUCACGAACCAGCUCAGGAAGGAAACAGUUCGAACGAGUACGAGCUCCAGAGUUUUACAAGAUUCUCUCAUCUGAUGCGUAGUCCAUACUAAUCGCAGAGAGCCUGAUGCGCUCCUUAUCAUUGGUUUGCCAAACGGUCCUGCUGCUCAUUUCAAGUUGUCAUAUCUUGUUCUAAGGAAGGAUAUCAAG